UUUCUGGCAACUGUCUAAACAUAAACCAGAGAAGGGCAAGGCAGACUCAGGAAGGACAAAUAGAAGGCUAUUUUCAUAAAUCGGGCCAAAGAGCUGUACAGCAGAAAUUACAAAGGAAGCAUUUGAUGAUGUACCCAAGAGGGUGCCCCAGUCCUCCCAUAGACGAUGCAAGGCAUACCAGAGACCCAGAAAUGUCUGUGUGGCUCAGUGGGGAAAUGUGGAGAGGCCACAAAAACCUAGAGGGGACUCUGAUUGGGAAAAGGAAGCUACACAGCCUAGGGACUUUACUCCUUGAGGCAACUGGCAAGAAGUGAUACAUUAGAAGUUAAUGCCAGCGAAAUAUUCAACAAGGUUAGGUAUAACCAGCCACAUCUCAGAGGACACCAGUAUACGGCCUUUGGGGACCAAACCAACCCCUCCGAAGCAAAGAACAUCAAGAAUGUGGAAAGUGCCCUCAACUCCUGCCACAUGAGGAUGGAUGCAACCUCCUCCUGCACAUUGGAAAGAAGGAUCAGGGAGGGACCAGCCUAUGGUAGCAGGAGGCACAGCCA
rnacentral:lncRNA from 1 species